UACGUAGGGGGCAAGCGUUGUCCGGAAUCAUUGGGCGUAAAGAGCGUGUAGGCGGCUCGAUAAGUCCGCUGUGAAAGUCCAGGGCUCAACCCUGGAAGGCCGGUGGAAACUGUCGGGCUAGAGUCCGGAAGAGGCGAGUGGAAUUCCCGGUGUAGCGGUGAAAUGCGCAGAUAUCGGGAGGAACACCAAUGGCGAAGGCAGCUCGCUGGGAAGGUACUGACGCUGAGACGCGAAAGCGUGGGGAGCAAACAGG
rnacentral:rRNA from 1 species